UCAGGUCUCGAUUAUCUAGAAUACUGUAACUCUUUUUUUCUUUCUUGGAUAGGAGAAAUCGGUGGGACUAAAACUUGCUAAAGCCAUCAUAAGCGGCGAAGUCAAGAGAGAGUGUGGAGUUCGUGAUAUAUUUGAGGGCAACAUUUAUGGCGUCAUCCGACGAGCUGUCAUCAUUGGUAAUGGAUUUUCGACUUCCAAAAACUAGAGCAUCGACUUUGCACCCGUCCUAGGCCUGACAGAAAAACUAAUUCUUUAUGUAUUCUUUUUCUCGUGGGGUUUGUUCAAUAAUUAGUGAAAAAAUUGUGAAAUUUUGAAUUGAACUUAUGAUGUAUUGUUUUUAAGGGUUCUUUUAAUGUUUUAUUUAUAUGUUUUGGAGUUUUGUUAUAAUGCAGUGGAGAGUUAGGAAAUAUUGAAUUGAAUUUAUGAUGCAAUGGAUUUAUGGAUUAUUUUAUUUUACUAAUUCAGUUGGAGUGUUUUUGAGAUGAUAUUCAUGAAUUUUUUGUUUAGGCUUUUGAUAUUAUGUUUUGCAAUUAAAAAGUUCAUUGAAAUCUUCAAUGUUGAGGUACAGUACGCACCGUUUGGCUGGGUGCAAGUUUUUUUCUUUCUUUCCUUUUUUUUUCCCCUUCUAUUUCUUGAUGUUGUUGGUUUUGUUUUUGGGUUCAUUACUUGGAAAAUGAUUUUUGAUUUUCUAUUCAUUUUGAGUUCAUUUAAGUUUGGAGCGGAUAAAAGAAUCUUUGUGUUUUCUCUUGUUCUGAUAAUGGGUUUAUUUAAAUCAAAUGCAUCACUUUUCUAUCUCACCAAGUAAUUUAAGAAUGUUGCUUUUUCCUUUUUAUCUAAUUAUCCUUGAAGUCAAUUGUCACCUCUCAUUGCCCAUUGUAUUCACAAUACUGAUUGUCCAUAAAUAAUGAUAAUCAAUUUAAAGUCAAUUUAUAUAAUAUGUAGAUGAGGGAGAUCUUGAAGGCAUUAGCAUGUAAAGAGUGGUGGCUAUGUUGUAUGCUAAUUGUUGGAUUAGAGAUGAUGUGUGAAAUCAUCUUGUGAUUUCUCAACAGAUCAAUUGAUCUAACUGUUGAAGAUGAAUGAGUUUGCAACAUGCCUAUUGCUUUGAAUCAAGGUCUAGAAUGGCAUUUCGUUUGUAGUUGCUUGAUUGGUCAUAUGAAGAUUUGACAUAUGCCAAGCUGCCUAGCUAAGUUCACUUUUCCCCUAUCAAACGCUCAUGUUCCUCAUGUCUGAAUGAUCUAUCCACCUAGAAGUUACAUGCUAAUAUGUCAGGUUGUGAAACUCGAACUAGAUUUGUGGCCUCAAUUUAGUCAUGUAAUUAUUAUAUUUAAUUUUCUUUAUUUUGAUAUUAAUGUUCUUGUGAUUGAAAUAAAAAUGGUCAAGGGAUGUUAUACAAAU
rnacentral:lncRNA from 1 species